rnacentral:rRNA from 1 species
UACGAAGGGGGCUAGCGUUGCUCGGAAUCACUGGGCGUAAAGCGCACGUAGGCGGAUCGUUAAGUCAGGGGUGAAAUCCUGGAGCUCAACUCCAGAACUGCCUUUGAUACUGGCGAUCUUGAGUUCGGGAGAGGUGAGUGGAACUGCGAGCGUAGAGGUGAAAUUCGUAGAUAUUCGCAAGAACACCAGUGGCGAAGGCGGCUCACUGGCCCGAUACUGACGCUGAGGUGCGAAAGCGUGGGGAGCAAACAGG